UGGACCCGCGUCGCCUCCAGCACCUCUGGCUCAUCUCUUAGCAGCUAACACCUGUGUAGCCACCAGCUAACGACGAGGGAGACGUGAGAGAUGAGCGGCAGCAGGCAAGAUUUACAGCUGUUUUCUCUGAUUGUAACUCCACUCAUGGCUGCCCCAGCAAGAGAACAUCAGAUGUCUUCCCAUCUCUCUUCCGCUAUCUCUCACUUGGCGCAUCUGUCCCCUUCGUCCCGGCAUCACCUUCCCUCCGCGAGCCAGCCGUCGGCGAAGAGGCACUGCAUCCAAACUGACGGGCAUUUAGAGACGAACAGAUUGGGAAGAAGAGGCGGAAAAUGUGGGGUGAGAUCUUGAGAAACACGGUGAUGAGUGAAAGAGUAACAAAAAACAGGUUGAGGGUGAGACUUGGUGGGGAGAUAGAGGAGGACAGAGGAAUAGAAACACACACACACACACACACACACACACACACACACACACACACACACACACACUCAGCGAGGAUGCCAGCAGCCUGUGAACGUGUGAAAGUCACAUCUGAGUGAUGGCCCAGCAGAUGCAAAGAGCAGCCUCAUCAAAAAACAAAGACAAAGAAGGAUCACGAACAAACCAUCUCUAUGGUGAACGAUGUUCUUUUCAUUUCUUCCCUCACUCUUCAAGUGGCCGACAAUGCGGCGACAGUGGCCUGGAUGCGUCUUCAAAUCUCAACGAUGCAUUAGCCCUCCGUCAAACCGAGACAAUUGGCCAAUGGAUGAGACAAUUUGUUGGAGAAGAUGGAGACAGAUAAGGAAGGAAAACACAGAAAAUCAUAGCCUUUGUGUGACAGCAUCAGCUGCUUUCAUUCUGCCCCCGUCGAUACAUCGCAGACGUCUAACACUGAGGUUACUGCAUGAAACCUGACGUGGCCCUGCCUGACUUUAGCGCUAUUAUUAUCAAAAACAACAGCGAUUGCAUAUCAGCCGUGUUCUCCUGGAAAGUAUCAAGGUGACCCCCAAAGCAUGAGUGAAGUUUAGGAAUGGUGUCAGUGAAAUCAGCAGCAAGAAUCCCACGUCUUCGGAGGAAAACUGGUUUCACGUUUUAUUCAUUCAACAACAAAGCAAAGAGGCCGAUAAAGGUGUGGUCUUGUUUUUAUCAUUACUUUAUCAUUAACUUCUAUACAAAUAAUACAAAGAUGUUCAUACACUUUCAAAUGGUUUAAAUAAUGUUGGUUGUUCUAACUGCUGCGGUGCAGCAUAUUAAACGGCCUCUUAACCCGAGCGUGCAUGUGGACAAAGGUGCAUUCGAGGAGCAGAAGAAAUAAAGUUUACCGGUGCUUUGAAGAGCUGAUGUUGAGCCUGGAGCAGAUGAGUCCGUGCUCAUCCUCUGCUCUGCUCAUCAGCUUCCUCUCUCCUUCUCCUUCUGGAUCACUCGCUCAGCUGUGUGACAGAUAACUCACGUAUUAUUAUCCAGUGACCUUGUGUCAACCCUGCUUAAUGAAAAUUUAUAUACGGUCCACCAUGUGAAUGAGGAGGCCUCACACACAUGCAAAUACGCACACCCGCACACAGCCGGUUCUGUAAUUCUGUGAAAGAGGAUGCUUCCCACUCAUGAAGCCAAGCAUGUCAAAUGGCAGAACGGCCUAUAGGAGCCAACGAGGGGAGGUCAGCGCGCCUGUGCUUCACCUCGGAGGACGGUAGAAGGGCGUCCUGCUAGCUUCUGAACUCAUCCUGUCACAAAGAGUGAGCGGCUGUAAACCGGCAGACAGGAGGAGUUAACAUUAACAUGCACAGUGUGGGUGGAAAUAUGCAAAGACAUCACGAGGAAAUGAAAUUAGCAGCAUCGUAUUGUUCCCUUAAAAUAAAUAAAAUGCAAUAUGCAAACUCUUCUUAGUUCAAAUUUUCACAAAUCUUUUCAUCAAUCUUUUCAAUCAUUUAGAUUUUCACAUGUUGCCAAUUAGACAGUUGCAGUUCGACGCCGGCCAGAUGCUGUUGAACACAGAGUGAUGGUUUUCAGCGUGGGCCACUGGUGCCUGUGUGUUUAUACAGCGCUGCUGGCCACGAAAGAUGCAUGAAGAAAUAAAAGAUUUUUAUGAGGGGACGUGGUUGGAGAACUGUCCUUGUGUCUGAUGUACGAGUCCGUUCCGUAUUACACCGACCUGUUGCUGUUGUACUGAAGGCAAAUUAGCAUUUAAAUGAGGCCAGUCCUUCCCCCUUUAAAUAACGAACGCAGUGGUUUUGAUUGAGAUGCGAGGAGGGCGACCGGUGGCUGCUUAGUCUUAUUGACCCAGAAAAGGCUGGGCCAACACACCCGCGUGAUUUUUCCCAACCACAGACCUGCGUCCAACACACAGAGUUGCACCCGCUCACGGCCGAGAGCCGCUGCUUGGGGGCCUUACAAGCGCAACCUCGGCUCGGCUGAUACAAGCUGUCUCGCCUAAAGGACUGCUCCAGUGAUUCUCUGCCUUAUCUCUGGAGUGUUCUUGUUACACAGAGAUUCUUUAAUACACCUGUACACUUGGCAGGACUUUCUGUAUUUUUGCAGGAAGCCUCCGUUCACCCCCCUAAAUCCUGGACAGAACGAUCCAGCCCUGAGCCAAAAAGUAGUGAGGAAGCACCUCUGUCCUCGCUUCAGCUGCUAUUUGGUGGCGAAGGAAACGAAGCCCACAUUAAAGGGAAUAAAUGAUUUUUAAAUGUAGUUUAGAGCGUUUGAACGGAGGUAUGUUUACCACCGCGUUGCAUCAUCUCUCGUGCUGUGUGUGUGCGUGUGUGUGUGUGUGUGUGUGUGUGUGUGACACCACGCUGCACAUGCAGGAUGAGCGCUGACCUGCUCACGCGUCCACGGGGCACACGCGUGUCUCCCAGCACCUCCUAAUGCACCAAUAAGUGAAAACAGUUUGGCCAAGUGCUGCUGAGCCCGCGUGGCCAUAGUCUUCAUGGCCGCGUGGCGCCUUCGGUCCAACCACUGACUUUUACCAGUACUGCAGAUGGUAAAAGACCCAAAUUCUUUGCUAUAUUGUGUCGGGAAAUAUUCUUUUUAAACUGACUGCCACUCACGAAACGCUCCCCUGUUAACAAUUAACCUGCUUCAACAAUUUAGGAGCCGUACAAAGCGGUGUUGUGCAUGAAUAUUUUAGAUGCCACCUCGUGAUUGGUACAGGGUACCAGUCAAACGCCCUGUGUGGCUGACGCGGUGGAUUUUUAAUAUUCCAACGCACAUUCACAAACUCUUGGUCGGGCUGCGAUGCCAUGAGGUGCAAAUUGAGCUAAAUAAUUAAAUAAGGUGCCCCCUGAACCUCCCACAUUCACAGGGUCAGCGCUCCCCUGCUGGUGUGACUAACCUGCUCCACCGGCGGAGCUUUAAUCAAGGCUGAGCAGACGUCGGGCACAUAUGGAGCCUCUAGUUAAGUGACACAUACAUGGACCAGUUUAGAACUUGGCAGCUGCAGCUUUCAUGUCCGCGGCGCCUUCAACUUUGUAGUUAAUUUCUGUUUUCUGUAUGUGCCACUGUAUGUUACUGACAUACCCAGUGAUCUUUUAGCUGCAGUCACUUUAAAUGCACUCCUUCUGCUCCAAGUUUAGUCGUAUUAAGUGGAGCUUUAUUCUCUGGAAGCAGCAGCGGAGUGUUAGAGGAUGUUAUCAAGUACAGGAGCUGAUCAUUGUGUGGACCUAAUCAUAAGUAGCGAGAUGUGUUUCUGUUCACUCUGGAUAUAAAGAGCAGAUCUGUGCGUCUCUCCCACUUGCAAAGCUGAAGGUGCUGGUUAAUUCCCAGAGACUGCCAAUUGAAAAUGUGUGAACAGGGACACAUUCUAUCUGUCUGGGAGGUCAUUUAGACUCAGAGUGCUGAGUAGCCUUCUGCCUGCCCCUGACUGGAAGGCUGUCUUUUUCCUCUCUCCUGAUCUCUUUGUUCGGUGCCCCUGACGGAGAAACUCCAUAAGGGGUGAUGGAUGUUGAUGGAGACACACAUAGCGGUGAUUAUGGAUCAGAAGGACAAAGACAGACAGACAGAACGUGCGAAAGAGAGGGAGGAUUGUGGAUUCAGAAUGGCUAACGACAGAAGCAGGUUUUGCUUUUCUUUUUUUACUUUCUGGUACGUGGAGCUGUUGCGCCGCUGAGUGGUGAAAUGUCAAACUACGGCCACGCAGUGGUUUCACACUUCUCAGACUCAUGCAUGCAUUAUUGAAUUGCAUUAUUAAUGCAUUCAUGCUGAUUAUUAUGAAUGCAAUUUGUGCUGACUUUUGCUGUUUUGCAGUCAAUCAUGUGUUUUGGUAUCUGGACUCCUAAUGUGUCAUGAAUUACAGCUGUCCAACAAAUGCAGCAUUGAAAAGUACCGACGUUGCAGAAAAAGUACCGAGGCAACUGUCUGAGUAAUGUAUUUAAAUUCCACAUUUGUAUUAAUGAAAGUAAAUUAAAGGAAA